CCCUGUCCACAGGAACAUGGAGAGAGUUCAGGAGGAGUAUGAUGAUGUGAUGAGUGUCAGUGAAGAUGUGAGAAACCUGUUGGAUUAUGAUGAUGUGGAGGAGGAGU